AGAUACGACGGCAGUGAUUAGAGUUUGAUCCUGGCUCAGGAUGAACGCUGGCGGCGUGCCUAAUACAUGCAAGUCGGACGGAGCGCUUCGGCGCUCAGUGGCGAACGGGUGAGUAGCACAUGGGCAACCUGCCCUUCAGAGGGGGACAACAGCUGGAAACGGCUGCUAAGACCGCAUAGGCGCGGACGGGACAUCCCGUCCACGUUAAACGUCCUUACGGGGACGGCUGAAGGAUGGGCCUGUGGCGCAUUAGCUUGUUGGCGGGGCAACGGCCCACCAAGGCGACGAUGCGUAGCCGGCCUGAGAGGGCGGACGGCCACACUGGGACUGAGACACGGCCCAGACUCCUACGGGAGGCAGCAGUAGGGAAUUUUCGGCAAUGGGGGGAACCCUGACCGAGCAACGCCGCGUGAACGAGGAAGGCCUUCGGGUCGUAAAGUUCUGUUGCGAAGGAAGAACGCCGGAGGGAGGAAAUGACCUCCGGGUGACGGUACUUCGCGAGAAAGCCACGGCUAACUACGUGCCAGCAGCCGCGGUAAUACGUAGGUGGCGAGCGUUAUCCGGAAUCAUUGGGCGUAAAGAGGGAGCAGGCGGCCGUGAGGGUCUGUGGUAAAAGACUGAAGCUCAACUUCAGUGAGCCAUGGAAACCGGACGGCUGGAGUGCGGCAGAGGAUCGUGGAAUUCCAUGUGUAGCGGUGAAAUGCGUAGAUAUAUGGAGGAACACCAGUGGCGAAAGCGACAGUCUGGGCCUGCACUGACGCUCAUUCCCGAAAGCGUGGGGAGCAAAUAGGAUUAGAUACCCUAGUAGUCCACGCCGUAAACGAUCGAUACCAGGUGUCGGGGGAGAGCCCCCUGUGCUGAGUCAACGCAUUAAGUAUCGCGCCUGAGUAGUACGUUCGCAGAAUGAAACUCAAAGGAAUUGACGGGGGCCCGCACAAGCGUGGAGCAUGUGUUUAGUUCGAAGCAACGCGAGAACUACCAGGUCUGACAUCGAUCCAGCGCAUGAAGAUCAUGCUCAAUCCUUCGGUAGGAAAGACGUGGUGCAUGUGUCGUCAGCUCUGUCUGGAGUAGCUAGUUCGCACUGAGCGCAUCCUGCUCAGUGCAGCAUGGAUAGGACUAGCGACUGCCUGCAGGAGAGAUAGCGAUACUAAUCAACUGCCUUAGACUGGUUCAAGCAGUCUCAAUGGACGAAUC
rnacentral:rRNA from 1 species